rnacentral:lncRNA from 1 species
CUUUUUUUUUCUCUCCACCAGGGCCCUGUCCAUGCUAACUUUUUUUAAACUUUUCAAACCAAUUGAUGGUAAAGCAUACAUCAAGUCUUACUCAGUUUAAUAGACAUUUAGCGGGUGCCUACUAUGUGUAAGGCCCUGUGGAUGCAAAGCUGAAGAAUACACAGAGAUCUCUGCAGAAAGACUAGGGGGGCUUCUGUAGCACCUCCAUUCUCAGUCACCCAAUCCUACCCAACCACAGUAUCUCUUGGGAGCAGAUGCUGCUGAUGUGGGCAAAGCAGAGUUAGCAAAGGCAUGACUUGUCACACACCACUGCCGCAAUCCGUGGCUGUAAGGGGGCCUCAGCGACCUUUUGGGCCUGGGCUGUUUGGUUCAGCUUCCUCUUCUGAGACCCCAUCUCCUAGCUGCACAUUAUGCUAGCAGGACCCAGAGAGAUUUAUUUGGUGACCUUUCUGGAUGCAGAAUCCAAGCAGGGGGAGGGAGAAAAUCAGCUCCGAAGCGGUUAAUUUUACUGGCUCCUAAAUUGAUAAGCGGUGGUACGUCAGUCUGAAAUGAACUCGCCUUGUUCGACGGGGUUCUAAGACAGCGGAACUCAAUCAACAGCGGGCCGCACGGUUCAAGGCUGCAAUUCAUCCCGCCGUGCCUCUGAAAAAUGGGAGGUGACAGUUCAUUUUGCCAGUGACAGUCUGUCGGUCUCGCUCGCUGCUUCUCCUGUCGAUUGCCUGGCUGAGGUGAAGUGCAGCUCAGAGACACCCUCGUUUGGUAUUCUACUCAGCUGAGCAGGAUGGUCCCAGGACCCAAGGUGUGCAAAUCUUACUGCCCCUACAGCUUGUCUUCUUCCCUUCUGGGAAGCUCUGAACUGCUCAUGCAUGAUUAUGGGUCCCAGGAGUCAUCUUCCCACUUCCUGUCCUUCACCUUUCCCUCCAACCUUCACUUCCGGUGGACUGGGCUUCCUCCUGUCGCUGGGACCUUGUGAAACAAAGCUAACCUGUUCAGGAGCCUUCCAGCCUACCAGUAGAGGACUGUGCAUGGGCAGCGACACGUGGGCGUGGUGCAAGUGGGGGCACGAGGGAACACCAGACACAACCAGCUGGGCUCUGCCUUGGCAACCACAGCUUUAGUUUUAGAGGAAACCCUUGAACAAGGGC